CACCCAUUUAAUCUAGUUAACUACAGGUCUAAACAACAAAGCAAAAUACGACGCGAUAAUCCUAUCAGCUUUUUAUGGUUCAAACUGCAAUAAUCGAGGCAUAGUCCGUGUGACUGGUACACAUUAGCUUAAAUAAGGCGUCGUCGUAGCUGGCUAGCCCCGUGUUUACAAUGUUGUGGAGUUCGUUAAUGAAGGAUCCGUGAACAGCCUGUAGACGAUAACGGCCUAAAAUAACUAUAGCAGUUUGUGUCAACAGUCCACGGAUACAACAGGAUAUCGCGAAGACGAACUGAAGCAGGUGGUGUUUGUAGCCGUGCUGGUGGUGCUGCUGCUUUGGGCUGCUCGGGUUUGUCUCCGCCAGGUGGUGAAAGACGGGGUUGAAUACAGCAAGAGGGUCGGGGAGUGAGUGGAGUGUAAUAUAAGUAAUAUAUUAUGUACAUACAAAUACUUUGUUUUUGGUCAUGUCUAAAAUGCUCGUCGUUUUCUGUUCUUUGGUCAUAUAUCUUAUCGUUCAGUUUUCUGCGUUUGGGGAGCCUUCAGCAAAAGUGGGAAAACACCUUUCAACCUAGUCGUUUUUCACCUUUUUUUUAAAAAAGAGAGAUACAAACAAUGGACUGACUCAAGCUUAUCCCUGCUCUAAGCCUUGUAGGAACAGCUUUCACCGUUUCUCAUAUCCAUAUAUUAAGGGAAUCACUGAGUGUCAUAUGUCAGCUAUGUCUGGCUCUGACAUUCUUCUCGAGUCAAGCUGGAGUCAGCUUUCAAGGCAAAAGCCACACAAGUGUGAAGUGUGAUAAAGAUAGAAAUGAACUCAGUAACAUCUAUUUCUGCCUCAUGGACAGUCUUUGAGCACCAGAUUGUUGUCAGUUUUAUGGUUGGUGUAGCUGGGUGAGGUUUGGCCUGUUUAACUGAAUUAGAUGAACAUUACUGGACACUUUUUAAAUACACAUUAUUUCUAUGAAAUGAGGGGAUAAAUAUGUGCUGAACACAGUUGUGAUUUUGCUGCUUUUUUCUUUUUCGUGUUAAAAUGCAUGUCUAGUCAAAAACUGAAAUAUCAAGACAUUCCCCCAAAAAACAUAUGCAGGGUGUGUUACGCAAUUAAGGUAUAAAUGCACAAAGACACAUCUCAAAAAAUACCAAAUGAUGGAAUUUAAUAAAUUAAAAUGUAUGUACAUUUUACAUUGUGUUGUUUGACGAUGCACAAUGAUCUUCUUUUCUUGAUUUUACCCAUUCUGCACUGAAGCAUAUUCAUUGCGUAACAUGGG